GGAUCCCAUAUUACGUAAGGCGGCCGUUUAACCGAUUCCGGCGUGAUGUAAUGCGGAGUUCUGUAAGAGAGAGAAUUCAAUGUUUAGAAUCUCCGGAACACGCACCUGGCGUCUAUAAACUGACAAUGAAAACAGAAUAUGGUAAGUAAUACUAAACGGGAUCUAAUGUAAAGCAGCAGCUCGGCACACGCUAUAUUUAUAACGUGUCACUACGUUUGGAAAAAUGGGCCGAUCGACUUUUCAGAUGCUCGAGGGGAAGGAACGCGAUACCGAUAGCCUUUAUUCGACACAAGCAAAGCAUCAACCGAAGAUAAUCAAGCUAAUGGUACCAAUAACGAGUAUACAGGGCGGAUCACGCGAUUGGUCGAGUUUCGUUACAAAAUAGAAAAAGAAGUUACCGAUCAUUAGAAGACUUAUUUUUCUGCAAUUUUCUCAUAACUGCACACAUUUACAUACAAGUGGUAUUCUUUUUAUCCGUAGACUACUUUGAAUAUUCUAUUUAGUAUUAGAAUCUUAAAAGUAUAGUUUCAAUGGAUAACUAUGUUAGAAUUUAU